rnacentral:rRNA from 1 species
UACGUAGGGUGCAAGCGUUGUCCGGAAUUAUUGGGCGUAAAGAGCUCGUAGGCGGUUUGUUGCGUCGGCUGUGAAAUCCCGAGGCUCAACCUCGGGUCUGCAGUCGAUACGAGCAAACUAGAGUGUUGCAGGGGAGACUGGAAUUCCUGGUGUAGCGGCGAAAUGCGCAGAUAUCAGGAGGAACACCGGUGGCGAAGGCGGGUCUCUGGGCAACAACUGACGCUGAGGAGCGAAAGCGUGGGGAGCAAACAGG